UGGCAGACGGGUGAGUAACGCGUGGGAACCUACCUUACGGUCGGGAAUAGCUCAGGGAAACUUGGGGUAAUACCGGAUAAGCCCUUACGGGGAAAGAUUUAUCGCCGUUAGAUGGGCCCGCGUCGGAUUAGCUAGUUGGUGGGGUAAUGGCCUACCAAGGCGACGAUCCGUAGCUGGUCUGAGAGGAUGAUCAGCCACACUGGGACUGAGACACGGCCCAGACUCCUACGGGAGGCAGCAGUGGGGAAUAUUGGACAAUGGGCGCAAGCCUGAUCCAGCCAUGCCGCGUGAGUGACGAAGGCCUUAGGGUUGUAAAGCUCUUUUGGCGGGGAAGAUAAUGACGGUACCCGCAGAAUAAGCUCCGGCUAACUUCGUGCCAGCA
rnacentral:rRNA from 1 species